CAUGGAUAAGGCAUCUGCUGGAUAUAAACACCAGUCUUCUCUUUGGUCCCAGUAACUGCUCUGAUGAUGCUGUGUUCAACUACAUCCUGAAGGGCUAUGUGGUGUAUAGAGGAUCUUUCCCAUCAGAAGAGGUUUCAAUGCCCUCCAGAUCAUCCGAGAGAUGGGACUGGCUUCCAUGUUCCUCAUCAAGUUGUUACAAGAGCGAAAGCUCCAGUUUCUAGUCAUUGUAAUUGAAAAGAGCCUAAAAGAGCGACUGCUUUUGUGUUUCCUCGAAGGAAGUUAUACGGGUUUGGAACAACAUGAGCCUGGCGAACGAGACACUACCGAACUCAUCGACACAUGCAGGCCCAAUGUGACACCUUUACUCCUGCGUCACAGGCCCAGCAGUUGUCCUCGCCAUUAAAUGUCACUUUCACUCUCAUGGGACGGUUGAGAGCCUUACUGGGUUAGGUUUGUUUGAAUUAUGAUAAACAACUCUCAUUUGCAGUUGAUGGACAGUUCACAGAACAGCUCAGGAUUGGUUUACCUUGCCUGUAGUGAUGAACUCAUAAGCUUUAAUGCUUAAUAAAUAAUAUGAGAUCUACCUCCACAGCCAGUGAUCCCAGGCUCUCCAGAAGUUUGUCGGUGGCUUUGGAAACUUGCCGGACAUCAGUGGCAUUAGUCCUUAUGUCAGACUGGUAUAAGGAAGAGAAAAAAAUAUUAUUGUAAUAACGAAAUCAAACUAACAUGACCCAUUAAUCUGGUUUUCCACAAUCCCAA